rnacentral:lncRNA from 1 species
AUCGCAGUAGUAAAAAGGUUCAUAAGUAUCGUACUUUAGUAACUUGUAUCGAUAGUAUAUUUGCCAUUGGAACAGUGUAUCACUAGUAAAAGGUGUCUCAAAUAAUAAUGUUCAGUAGAAAUUGAAAUAAUUCUUAAAAACUGAACAAAUAUCUUUGAAACAAAUGGCCAUUAGUAAAUUAUUUCAUAAGGUGGUGCAUCUCAGAAUGACGGAAUCGCACUAGUAAAGCAGCUGCGGCCUGCGGCGCAGGUUCAGAAUUUAGAUUCAGACGACUAAAAGGCGUCGACGGCACGAAGGCACAAAUCGAGGCGUCGUAGUGUAAUUACGACGCAUUUUUUGUGUCAAAAGUUUUCAUUGGCAGCCUUGACGACUUUAUGCGUUUUCCUUGCCAUAAGUCCUGGUGUGUGUGAAUCAGCAUCUUGGCAUCUUUGGUCGCCUGUGGAGAUUUGAGAGAGAUGGAACUUUUCCUUUUCCUUAUGCUAGUGGCUGAUAACCAAGAAAUUUUUGACAUGGUUCUCCACCUCACUGCUUAUCAUUAUCCUGAAAAUAUCGUCUUGCCACAAGGAUAUACUCCUCCAAAUCUGGCAGUUAGCACCCUUUACUGGAAGGCUUGGUUGAUGCUAUUGAUGCUGAUUGCUCAUAAUCCUGGCAGUCUUGGGUCUGAGGCAUGGAAUUCAUUCCCUCCUAUACUCCGAGCAUUGAUGGAGAUGUGUAUCACAAAUGAUUUGCUACUUCUUCUGGUACCACAGACCAAACAGAGUUGCAGGUGGCUGCAAUUGAAAAGCAAACCAUCUUGGAAUUCGAAACAGAUCUAGGAGCCGCCUCUACAAAAACUGUUAUUACCGAGAACAAUCCUUUGCUGCUUAGUCAAUUGACAUCACUUGAUCCACGAGGAUCUACGCGACGACCUCCUCCGGCUGUUAUUGAGCAGCUUCGAACUUUGAACGCAACACUUCGACUGGGUCACCUACUUUGUAGAAGUCGCCAACCGAACUUUUUAUUGUAAAUUCUGCAUAGGCAAGGAGCUGCGCAAACGAAGCCAUGGCUGGCUGAUUUGGUCGAGUCCAAUGAAGGUGCUUGGAACGUUCUGCCUGUUCAAUGUCUUUGUGAGUUUUUGCUUCACGAAGCAGCUGAUGGUCUGCCUGUUAAUGAUCUAAUGAACGAUUGUAAGCAACAGCUUGGCAAACGCAAGGAACGUCGUCACAAACACCAACAGUUGGUCCAGCAUCUAAGAUUUUUGUUGACUGAUCCCAAUCAACUACCCGAAGCAUGCCGUGAAGUCCUAGACUAUUUGAUGAGACGAUUGAGUGCUCAGAAAGCUCUCGCCCGUCACCAAGCCCUCACGGCAUUGAGUGUGGUCUUGGCAGUAAAAGACGAUGAUAUUACCAUGAGUGAUGGUGCAUGCUCCGAAGGAACAGGAGACGAUUCCCAGUUCUCUUGGCUUGUUCAUCAGUUACCUACCAUCCCACAUUUCGAAGCCGUACGCCCUGCCGUGAUUGCUGCUCUACGGGCCGCCUUUCUAAUUGAAACACAACCACUAGCCAUGUGUAUGCGUCAUCGUAAACAUCCGAUUCCGAUAUUUCCUUAUUUUUCAUAAUUUGUCCGUGCUUUCCCCUUUUUUCCCCAUUUUUAUCCAAAAUUUUCCAAUAUUUCCUAAUUUUCUUGGAGCAGGACGCAAGUCCUGACUAGUGACGUUUUUUUUAAUACAUAGCCAUCUAGCGCUCA